rnacentral:rRNA from 1 species
UCGGGAAUUUUGGGCAAUGGGCGAAAGCCUGAUCCAGCCAUGCCGCGUGUGUGAAGAAGGUCUUCGGAUUGUAAAGCACUUUAAGUUGGGAGGAAGGGCAGUUACCUAAUACGUGAUUGUUUUGACGUUACCGACAGAAUAAGCACCGGCUAACUCUGUGCCAGCAGCCGCGGUAAUACAGAGGGUGCAAGCGUUAAUCGGAAUUACUGGGCGUAAAGCGCGCGUAGGUGGUUAGUUAAGUUGGAUGUGAAAUCCCCGGGCUCAACCUGGGAACUGCAUUCAAAACUGACUGACUAGAGUAUGGUAGAGGGUGGUGGAAUUUCCUGUGUAGCGGUGAAAUGCGUAGAUAUAGGAAGGAACACCAGUGGCGAAGGCGACCACCUGGACUGAUACUGACACUGAGGUGCGAAAGCGUGGGGAGCAAACAGGAUUAGAUACCCCCGUAGUCCCUGAGCGGGCUGGCAAGGCGCAU